CCUACGGGAGGCAGCAGUGGGGAAUAUUGCACAAUGGGGGAAACCCUGAUGCAGCGACGCCGCGUGAGUGAAGAAGUAUUUCGGUACGUAAAGCUCUAUCAGCAGGGAAGAAAAUGACGGUACCUGACUAAGAAUCCCCGGCUAACUACGUCCCAGCAGCCGCGGUAAUACGUAGGGGGCAAGCGUUAGCCGGAUUUACUGGGUGGAACGGGAGCGUAGACGGCAGGGCAAGUCUGGAGUGAAAUCCCAUGGCUGAACCAUGGAACUGCUUUGGAAACUGUGCAGCUAGAGUGCAGGAGAGGUAAGCGGAAUUCCUGGUGUAGGGGUGAAAUGCGUAGAUAUUAGGAGGAACACCAGUGGCGAAGGCGGCUUACUGGACUGUAACUGACGUUGAGGCUCGAAAGCGUGGGGAGCAAACAGGAUUAGAUACCCUUGUAGUC
rnacentral:rRNA from 1 species